rnacentral:rRNA from 1 species
AUUUGGUCGUAGACCCGAAACCAGGUGAUCUACCCUUGGUCAGGUUGAAGUUCAGGUAACACUGAAUGGAGGACCGAACCGACUUACGUUGAAAAGUGAGCGGAUGAACUGAGGGUAGCGGAGAAAUUCCAAUCGAACCUGGAGAUAGCUGGUUCUCUCCGAAAUAGCUUUAGGGCUAGCCUCAAGUGAUGAUUAUUGGAGGUAGAGCACUGUUUGGACGAGGGGCCCCUCUCGGGUUACCGAAUUCAGACAAACUCCGAAUGCCAAUUAAUUUAACUUGGGAGUCAGAACAUGGGUGAUAAGGUCCGUGUUCGAAAGGGAAACAGCCCAGACCACCAGCUAAGGUCCCAAAAUAUAUGUUAAGUGGAAAAGGAUGUGGCGUUGCCCAGACAACUAGGAUGUUGGCUUAGAAGCAGCCAUCAUUUAAAGAGUGCGUAAUAGCUCACUAGUCGAGUGACACUGCGCCGAAAAUGUACCGGGGCUAAACAUAUUACCGAAGCUGUGGAUUGUCCUUUGGACAAUGGUAGGAGAGCGUUCUAAGGGCGUUGAAGCAUGAUCGUAAGGACAUGUGGAGCGCUUAGAAGUGAGAAUGCCGGUGUGAGUAGCGAAAGACGGGUGAGAAUCCCGUCCACCGAUUGACUAAGGUUUCCAGAGGAAGGCUCGUCCGCUCUGGGUUAGUCGGGUCCUAAGCUGAGGCCGACAGGCGUAGGCGAUGGAUAACAGGUUGAUAUUCCUGUACCACCUAUAAUCGUUUUAAUCGAUGGGGGGACGCAGUAGGAUAGGCGAAGCGUGCGAUUGGAUUGCACGUCUAAGCAGUAAGGCUGAGUAUUAGGCAAAUCCGGUACU